GACGAACGCUGGCGGCGUGCCUAAUACAUGCAAGUCGAGCGAAUGGAUUAAGAGCUUGCUCUUAUGAAGUUAGCGGCGGACGGGUGAGUAACACGUGGGUAACCUGCCCAUAAGACUGGGAUAACUCCGGGAAACCGGGGCUAAUACCGGAUAACAUUUUGAACCGCAUGGUUCGAAAUUGAAAGGCGGCUUCGGCUGUCACUUAUGGAUGGACCCGCGUCGCAUUAGCUAGUUGGUGAGGUAACGGCUCACCAAGGCAACGAUGCGUAGCCGAACUGAGAGGGUGAUCGGCCACACUGGGACUGGGACACGGCCCAGACUCCGACGGGAGGCAGCAGUAGGGAAUCUUCCGCAAUGGACGAAAGUCUGACGGAGCAACGCCGCGUGAGUGAUGAAGGCUUUCGGGUCGUAAAACUCUGUUGUUAGGGAAGAACAAGUGCUAGUUGAAUAAGCUGGCACCUUGACGGUACCUAACCAGAAAGCCACGGCUGACUACGUGCCAGCAGCCGCUGUAA
rnacentral:rRNA from 1 species